CGAGCCAACACUCUGUCGACAUGAGCUUGAGGAUAGCGAAGAAAACUACUCGAUCGAAGCGCUCAUCCUAGACGAAUCGAAAAGUUUCAGGUAAUCCCCAGACUUAACUUUGGAUGACGUCACGGGAGACUCAGAUUUCACAGUUUUAAAACACUAUAUUAUGGUUUUAUUCUAUGUGUUUAAACCGGGCAUUUCGGACUCUAUUGUGGUUUAUUAAUUUUUGGAUAUUUUAUGUUUGUUUAGUUUACAA